UACGGGGGGGGCAAGCGUUGUUCGGAAUUAAUGGGCGUAAAGGGCGCGUAGGCGGCCUGCUAAGUCGGACGUGAAAUCCCUCGGCUCAACCGGGGAACUGCGUCCGAUACUGGCGAGGCUUGAAUCCGGGAGAGGGAUGUGGAAUUCCAGGUGUAGCGGUGAAAUGCGUAGAUAUCUGGAGAAACACCAGUGGCGAAGGCGGCAUCCUGGACCGGCAUUGACGCUGAGGCGCGAAAGCUAGGGUGAGCAAACGGGG
rnacentral:rRNA from 1 species